AUGAACGCUAGCGGGAGGCCUAACACAUGCAAGCCGAGCGGUAUUUGUCCUUCGGGACAGAGAGAGCGGCGUACGGGUGCGGAACACGUGUGCAACCUGCCUUUAUCUGGGGGAUAGCCUUUCGAAAGGAAGAUUAAUACCCCAUAAUAUAUCGAAUGGCAUCAUUCGAUAUUGAAAACUCCGGUGGAUAGAGAUGGGCACGCGCAAGAUUAGAUAGUUGGUGAGGUAACGGCUCACCAAGUCAGUGAUCUUUAGGGGGCCUGAGAGGGUGAUCCCCCACACUGGUACUGAGACACGGACCAGACUCCUACGGGAGGCAGCAGUGAGGAAUAUUGGACAAUGGGUGAGAGCCUGAUCCAGCCAUCCCGCGUGAAGGACUAAGGCCCUAUGGGUUGUAAACUUCUUUUAUACUGGGAUAAACCUACUUACGUGUAAGUAGCUGAAGGUACAGUAUGAAUAAGCACCGGCUAACUCCGUG
rnacentral:rRNA from 1 species